rnacentral:rRNA from 1 species
UAUAAGAGACAGCAGUCGCCACGGUAAGACGAACCGUGCAAACGUUACUCGGAAUCACUGGGCUUAAAGCGCACGUAGGCGGCGACAUAAGUUAGAGGUGAAAUCCCAUCGGCUCAACCGUGGAACUGCCUCUAAUACUGUGUUGCUUGAGGGAGAACGGGGCAUUCGGAACUUCCGGUGGAGCGGUGAAAUGUGUUGAUAUCGGAAGGAACGCCGGUGGCGAAAGCGGAAUGCUGGGUCUCUUCUGACGCUGAGGUGCGAAAGCUAGGGUAGCGAACGGGAUUAGAUACCCGGGUAGUCCCUGUCUCUUAUA